GACGAACGCUGGCGGCGUGCUUAACACAUGCAAGUCGAACGGAAAGGCCCUGCUUUUGUGGGGUGCUCGAGUGGCGAACGGGUGAGUAACACGUGAGUAACCUGCCCUUGACUUUGGGAUAACUUCAGGAAACUGGGGCUAAUACCGGAUAGGAGCUCCUGCUGCAUGGUGGGGGUUGGAAAGUUUCGGCGGUUGGGGAUGGACUCGGGGCUUAUCAGCUUGUUGGUGGGGUAGUGGCUUACCAAGGCUUUGACGGAUAGCCGGCCUGAGAGGGUGACCGGCCACAUUGGGACUGAGAGACGGCCCAGACUCCUACGGGAGGCAGCAGUGGGGAAUAUUGCACAAUGGGCGGAAGCCUGAUGCAGCAACGUCGCGUGCGGGAUGACGGCCUUCGGGUUGUAAACCGCUUUCGCCUGUGACGAAGCGUGAGUGACGGUAAUGGGUAAAGAAGCACCGGCUAACUACGUG
rnacentral:rRNA from 1 species